CCCACAUCCCUAGUGCCUGCUGGAAUUGUUUUCUCAGCUUUGGAUAUGAGAAUCAGCUCACAGGUGGCAGGUAAUACAGUUUUACAGUUUUAUAGUGUAAUACGUGUCUGACUAUCUUUUUUUUUUGCUUCUUGUUUUGCUUUCAUUAAGCUUUAUCCAGGAGGGCAUUAAAUACAUUGCAAGCCCUGAUAUCUUGCAAAGUACGAUAAAUCUUUGUAGUAAAUAAGAUCUCAUUACAGUGCUGCAAAUUCUAGGUUUUUGAGGCAUCAUAGCUAAUUUACUACAAAAUCUAUUAUUAGCUAGCAAAAUUACUGCUACCAGAAAAAAAUGCUUUUAAUUGGAACAAAACAUCUCUUCAGGUAAUGAUAGAAAAUAUGAUGGAAUUAGAUGUUUACUAGAUGGAUAUAGACUGAUCAGCCUCAACAUUAAAACCACUGACAGGUGAAGUGAAAAACAUUGAUUAUAUCGUUACAAUGGCACCUGUCAAGGAGUGGGAUAUAUUAGGCAAGUGGUGAAGAGUCGGUUCUUUAAUUCCCUGUGUUGGAAACAGAAAAAAUCGGUAAGCAAAAAGAUCUGAGUGUCUUUGACAAGGGCCAAACAAUUGGGUAAAAGCAUCUCGAAAACAGCAGUCUUGUGGGCAGGGCUGGACUGGCCCACCGGGAUAACGGGAAAUUUUGCUGUGGGCUGCGGCACCUGGGACAGCCCUAAUCAUCGUGCUAAAGUAAAUUAAAUGAUUUUGACAUUGGACUGUGUGGGGAGUAAUGAGAGAGGAGCUGGGGGCUGGUACAGCCACAAUUAGGCUGCUGGCGGCCGAAGGGAGACCUGUCAGUCUCCCUGCACAAUGCUCAGCAAUUCUGGCUGCAUGCUCCGCCUCUGCACACAAGCCCCGCCUCUGGAACAUAGCUCUGCCUCCCAGACUCAGGCCCUGCCCCCACGCACUUUGCUGACCUCGCUGGAAGGAAGAGGCCACAAAAUGGCAAGUUCACCCUCCAGUGCCAGGUAAGCUUCAGCCAUGACAGUGAUUGUGUAUGUGUUUGUGCCUGCUAGUGAGUGAGUUUGUGUGUGUGCCUACUAGUGAGUGAGCUUGUCUAUGUGUGUGUGUUCCAGAUAGUGAGUGCGCUUGUGUGUGUGUGUUUGUGUGUGCCUGCUAGUGAGUCUGUGUGUGUGUGCCUGCUAGUGAGUGAGUUUGUCUGUGUGUGUGCCUGCUAGUGAGUGAGCUUUUGUGUGUGUUUUCCUGCUAAUGAGUAUAUGUGUAUGCGGGCAUGCUAGUGAGUGAGCUUGUGUGUGUGCACCUGCUAGUGAGUGAGCUUGUGUGUGUGUUUGUGCACGCCUGCUAGUGAGUGUGUGUGUGUGUGUGCCUGCUAGUUAGUGAGUUUGUGUGUGUGCCUGCUAGUAACUGAGCUUGUAUUUGUGUGUGCCUGCUAGUGAGUGAGUAUGUUUGAAUGUAUGUAUGUAUGUAUGUGUGCCUGCUAGUGAGUGAGCUUGUGUGUGUGUGUGUGUGCGCCUGCUAGUGAGUGAGCUUGUGUGUGUGUGUGUGCGUCUGCUAUUGAGUAAGCUUGUGUGUGUGUGUCUGCUAGUGAGUGAGCAUGUAUAUGUGUGUGCCUGCUAGUGAGUGAGCUUGUCUGUGUAUGUACCUGAUAGUGAGUGAGUCUGUGUGUGUGCCUGCUAGAGAGUGAGUCUGUGUGUGUGCCUGCUAGUGAGUGUGAUUGUCUAUGUGUUCCUGCUAGUGAGUGAGUCUGUGUGUGUGACUGCUAGUCAGUGAGCUUGUCUGUGUGUGUGUACCUGCUAGUGAGUGAGCUUGUGUGUGCUUGCUAGUUAGUGAGUCUGUGAGAGUGUGUGACCGCUAGUGAGUGAGCAUGUGUAUGUGUGUGCCUGCUAGUGAGUGAGCUUGUCUGUGUAUGUACCUGAUAGUGAGUGAGUCUGUGUUUGUGCCUACUAGUGAGUCUGUGUGUGCAUGUGUGUGCCUGCUAGUGAGUGAGAUUGUCUGUGUGUGCCUGCUAGAGAGUGAGUCUGUGUGUGUGCAUGUGUGUGCCUGCUAGUGAGUGAGAUUGUCUAUGUGUUCCUGCUAGUGAGUGAGUCUGUGUGUGUGACUGCUAGUCAGUGAGCUUGUCUGUGUGUGUGUACCUGCUAGUGAGUGAGCUUGUGUGUGCUUGCUAGUGAGUGAGUCUGUGAGUGUGUGUGCCUGCUAGUGAGUGAGCAUGUGUGUGUGUGUGCCUGCUAGUGAGUGAGCUUGUGUGUGUGCACCUGUUAGUGAGUGAGCUUGUGUGUGUGUGUGUGUGUGUGUGCAUGUUAGUGAGUGAGCGUGUGUAUGUGCCUGCUAGUUAGUGAGCUCUUAUGUGUGCUACUGAGUGAGAUUGUGCAUGUGUGUGUGCCUGCUAGUUAGUGAGUCUGUGUGUAUGCAUGCCUGCUAGUGAGUGCGCUUGUGUGUGUGUGUGCACCUGCUAGUGAGUAAGCUUGUGUGUGUGUGUGUGUGCUAGUGAUUGAACAUGUGUGUGCCUGCUAGUGAGCGAGCUUGUAUGUGUGCCUGCUAGUGAGUGAGAAUGUGUGUGUGUGUGUGCCUGCUAGUGAAUGAGCUUGUGUGUGUGUGCCUGCUAGUGAGUGGGCUUAUGUAUGUGUGUGGCUGUUAAUAAGUGAGCUUGUAUGUGUGUGUGUGUGCCUGCUAGUGAGUGAGCUUGUGUGUUUGUAUGUGCCUGCUAGUGAGUGAGCUUGUGUGUGUGUGUGUGCCUGCUAGUGAGUGAGCUUGUGUGUGUGUGUGCCUGCUGGUGAGUGAGUGUGUGUUUGUAAUAGCCUGCUAAUAGAGUGAACUUGUGUGUGUGUGUGUGUGUGCCUGCUUGUGGUAACCUUGUGUACGUGCCUGCUAGUGAGUGAGAGCAUGUGUGUGUGUGUGUGUGUGCUGGCUAGUGGGGAAACGUGUGUGAGUAGUACUUGACUGAAAAUGGGAGUAGUAUGUAUGUGUCUGCUAGUGGAGUAAGCUUGUGUGCAUGUGUGUGCCUGCUAGUGAGUGAGAUUGUCUGUGUGUGCCUGCUAGAGAGUGAGUCUGUGUGUGUGUUCCUGCUAGUGAGUGAGUCUGUGUGUGUGCCUGCUAGUGAAUGAGCUUGUGUGUGUGUGCCUGCUAGUGAGUGGGCUUAUGUAUGUGUGUGGCUGUUAAUAAGUGAGCUUGUAUGUGUGUGUGUGUGCCUGCUAGUGAGUGAGCUUGUGUGUUUGUAUGUGCCUGCUAGUGAGUGAGCUUGUGUGUGUGUGUGUGCCUGCUAGUGAGUGAGCAUGUGUGUGUGCCUGCUAGUGAGUGAGCAUGUGUGUAUGCCUGCUAGUGAGUGAGUCUGUGUGUAUGCGUGUCUGCUAGUGACUGAGCUUGUGUGUGUGUGUGUGUGAGUGCCUGCUAGUGAGUGAGCAUGUGUGCCUGCUACUGAGUGAGCUUGUGUGUGUGUGUUCCUGCUAGUGAGUGAGCAUGUGUGCGAGUGAGUGAGCUUGUGUGUGCGCCUGCUAGUGAGUGAGCUUGUGUGUGUGUGCGUCUGCUAGUGAGUAAGCUUGUGUGUGUGUGUGUGUGUGUGUGUGUGUGACCGCUAGUGAGUGAGCAUGUGUAUGUGUGUGCCUGCUAGUGAGUGAGCUUGUCUGUGUAUGUACCUGAUAGUGAGUGAGUCUGUGUUUGUGCCUACUAGUGAGUCUGUGUGUGUGCAUGUGUGUGCCUGCUAGUGAGUGAGAUUGUCUGUGUGUGCCUGCUAGUGAGUGAGUCUGUGUGUGUGUGUGUGUGCCUGCUAGUGAGUGAGCUUGUCUGUGUGUGUGUACCUGCUAGUGAGUGAGCUCGUGUGUGCCUGCUAGUGAGUGAGUCUGUAUGUGUGUGUGCCUGCUAGUGAGUGAGCAUGUGUUUGUGUGCUCCUGCUAGUGAGUGAGUGAGUCUGUGUGUGUGCACCUGUUAGUGAGUGAGCUUGUGUGUAUGUGUGUGCAUGCUAGUGAGUGAGAGUGUGUAUGUGCCUGCUAGUGAGUGAGCUCUUGUGUGUGCCUGCUACUGAGUGAGCUUGUGCAUGUGUGUGUGCCUGCUAGUUAGUGAGUCUAUGUGUAUGCAUGCCUGCUAGUGAGUGCGCUUGUGUGUGUGUGUGUGUGUGUGCACCUGCUAAUGAGUAAGCUUGUGUGUGUGUGUCUGCUAGUGAAUGAACAUAUGUGUGUCUGCUAGUGAGCGAGCUUGUGUGUGUGCCUGCUAGUGAGUGAGCAUGUGUGUGUGUACCUGCUAGUGAAUGAGCUUUUGUGUGUGUGUGUUUGCCUGCUAAUGAGUGGGCUUGUGUAUGUGUGUGGCUGUUAAUGAGUGAGCUUGUAUGUGUGUGCCUGCUAGUGAGUGAGCAUGUGUGUUUGUGUGUGCCUGCUAGUGAGUGAGCUUGUGUGUGUGUGUGCCUGCUAGUGAGUGAGCUUAUGUGUGUUGUGCCUGCUAGUGAGUGGGCUUUUGUGUGUGUGUGCUCCUGCUAGUGAUUGAGCUUGUGUGUGUGUGCCUGCUGGUGAGUGAACUUGUGUGUGUGUGUGUGUGUGCCUGCUUGUGAGUAAGCUUGUGUGCGUGCCUGCUAGUGAGUGAGCAUGUGUGUGUGUGUGCAUCUGCUAAUGAGUAAGCUUGUGUGUGCCUGCUAGUGAGUGAGCGUGUGUGUGUCUGCUAGUGAGUGAGCUUGUGUGUGUGUGUGCCUGCUAGUGAGUGGCGUGCUAGUGAGUGAGUCUGUGUGUAUGCGGUGUAUGUUAGUGACUGAGCUUGUGUGUGUGUGUGCUCCUGCUAGUGAGUGAGCUUGUGUGUGUAGCAGCCUGCUAGUGAGUAAGCUUGUGUGUGAGUGCCUGCUAGUGAGUGGGAGUGUGUGUGCCUACAGUGAGUAGCUUGUGUGUGUGUGUGCCUGCUAGUGAGUGAGUCUGUGUAUGCUGCCUGCUAGUAGGUGAGAUUAUUUGUGUGUGUGUGUGCACCUGCUAGUGAGUAAGUUUGUGUGUGUGUGUGUGUGUGCCUGCUAGUGAGAGAGCUUGUGUGUGUGUGUCUGCUAGUGAGUGGGCUUGUGUAUGUCUGUGGCUGUUUGUGAGUGAGCUUAUGUGUGUGUGCCUGCUAGUGAGUGAGCUUGUUUGUGUGUGUGUGUGUGUGUGUGUGUGUGUGUGUGUGCACCUGCUAGUGAGUAAGUUUGUGUGUGUGUGUGUGUGUGUGUGUGUGCCUGCUAGUGAGUGAGCUUGUGUGUGUGUGCCUGCUAGUGAGUGUGCUUAUGUAUGUGGGUGGCUGUUAAUGAGUGAAAUUGCCUUGCAAAAGUAUUCAUCCCCCUUGACUUUUUACCUAUUUUGUUACAUUACAGCCUUAAGUUUAAUGUUUUAUUAAUCUAAAUUGUAUGUGAUGGAUCAGAACACAAUAGUUGGUGAAGUGAAAUGAGAAAAAUAUAUACAUAAAUAUAUACAUAAAACAUUUUUUUAGAAAUUGAAAACAGAAAAUUGGCAUGUGCGUAUGUAUUCACCCCCUUUGUUAUGAAGCCCAUAAAAAGCUCUGGUGCAACUAAUUGCCUUCAGAAGUCACAUAAUUAGUGAAAUGAUGUCCACCUGUGUGCAAUCUAAGUGUUACAUGAUCUGUCAUUACAUAUACACACCUUUUUUGAAAGGCCCCAGAGGCUGCAACACCUAAGCAUGGGGCACCACUAACCAAACACUGCCAUGAAGACCAAGGAACUCUCCAAACAAGUAAGGGACAAUGUUGUUGAGAAGUACAAGUCAGGGUUAGGUUAUAAAAAAAUAUCCAAAUCUUUGAUGAUCCCCAGGAGCACCAUCAAAUCUAUCAUAACCAAAUGGAAAGAACAUGGCACAACAGCAAACCUGCCAAGAGAUAGCCGCCCAUCAAAACUCAGAUUGGCUAGAAGAGAGCCAUUACUUUCAGCAAAAAAAAAAAAUGGCAUGUUUUGAGUUUGCGAAAAAGCAUGUGGGAGACUCCCAAAAUGUAUGGAGGAAGGUGCUCUCGUCUGAUGAGACUAAAAUUGAACUUUUCCGCCAUCAAAGAAAAUGCUAUGUCUGACGCAAACCCGACACAUCACAUCACCCAAAGAACAAAAAAACAUCCCCACAGCAUGAUGCUGCCACCACCAUGUUUCACUGUGGGGAUGUUUUUUAGCAGUCGGGACUGAGAAACUAGCCAGAUUUGAGGGAAAGAUGGAUGGUGCUAAAUACAGGUAUAUUCUUGAGCAAAAUCUGUACCACUCUGUGUGUGAUUUAAAGCUAGGACAGAGGUUUACCUUCCAGCAGGACAAUGACCCAAAACACACUGCUAAAGCAACACUUGAGUGGUUUAAGGGGAAAUAUGUAAAUGUGUUGGAAUGGCCUAGAGCUUAUGUGUGUGUGUGCCUGCUACUGAGUGAGUGUGUGUGCCUGCUACUGAGUGAGUUUGUGUGUAUGUGUGCUCCUGAUAGUCAAAGCCCAGACCUCAAUCCAAUAGAAAAUCGGUGGUCAGACUUAAAGUUUGCUAUUCACAAGCACAAACCAUCCAACUUGAAGGAGCGGUAGCAGUUUUGCAAGGAGGAAUGGGGAAAAAUCCCAGUGGUAAGAUGUGGCAAGCUCAUCAAGACUUAUCCAAAGCGACUUGGAGCUGUGAUUGCCGCAAAAGGUGGCUUUAGGGGGGUGAAUAGUUAUGCACAUGUACUUGUUCAGUUAUCUUGUCCUAUUUGUUGUUUGCUUCACAAUAAAAAAAUAAAAAAAACAUCUUCAAAGUUGUGGGCAUGUUCUGUAAAUUAAAGAUGCAAAUGCUCAAACAAUUCAUUUUAAUUCCAGAUUGUGAGGCAACAAAACACGAAAAAUGCCAAUGGGGGUGUUUAUGUAUACACCCCCAUACACUGUAUGUGUAUAGAAAAUUGCGUCCAUGCGCAACUAUGAGUAUUACCAACAAUCUAACUAUCUGACCCCUGAUCAAUCGGGUUUUUGCCCGAAUCACUCCACUACAACUGCCCUCUUAAAAGUUUGCAAUGACAUCCAAUCUGGCAUGGAACAAGGAGACCUAACUGGAGCUGUUUUCCUUGAUUUUGCACGACAUUCUACUGCACAAACUCAGGUAUUGGUGAUUGUCAGCUAACCUGGUUUUCGAUCAUAUGUAUCGGAUCGUGCAGGGCCGGACUGACCACUCGGGCAUAUCGGUUAUGGACCGAGGGCCCGAGCCAGCCAUGGGCCCAGCCGCACAGCCAUGCUCCAGCUGGAGAGAUUAGAGAUCUCUCCAACUGGAAUGACAAAAUUAAAAAAAAAUCUCUUUCAUUAAUAGGUUGCUGGGGCCCCUGAUGGAGCGCAGGGCCCCACAACCUACCACUCAGCAUAUUACCUCCCUCCCACUUAAUGAGACCUGGUAGUUUCACCUCCUCUCUGCCAGGUCUCCUGCUUCCUGUCCCAUGUGGCACUGUGUGAUGGGGAGAGGCGGGGCCAGGAAGUGACAUCACUUCCUGUACUCUCCUCUCAUACAGAGUCUGAUCAGCAAGGGGAAGGAGUAGCAGCCUGGGAGACCAGACUGAGCAAGGAGAAAGGUAGGCACUAAUCACCCCUUCCACUCACUGUGUCACUAGUCACCCCUUCCCUCUGUCACUAGUCACCCCUCCCUCUGUCACUAGUCACCCCUCCCUCUGUCACUAGUCACCCCCUCACUCUGUCACUAGUCACCCCUCCCUCUGUCACUAGUCACACCUCCUUCUGUCACUAGUCAACCCCUCCCUCUGUCACUAGUCACCCCCUCACUCUGUCACUAGUCACUCCUCCCUCUGUCACUAGUCACCCCCUCCCUCUGUCAUUAGCCAUACCUCCCUCUGUCACUAGUCACCCCUCACUCCCUUUGUCACUAGUCACCCCCUCCCUCUGUCACUAGUCACCCCCUCCCUCUGUCAUUAGUCACCCCUUCCCUCCCUCUGCCACUAGUCACGCCUUCCCUCCCUCACUCUGCCACUAGUCACGCCUUUCCUCCCUCACUCUGCCACUAGUCAUGCCUUCCCUCUCUCUGUGACUUGUCACUUCCUCCCCUCCCUCUGUUACUAGUCACUUCCUACCCUCCAUCCCUCUUUCACUAGUCACCCCCCCUCACUGUGUCUGCCCCUCACUCUGCCACCACUCACCCCCUCCCUCCCUCACUCUGCCACAAGGUACCCCCUCAAUCUGCCACCUGUCACCACCUCCCACACUCUUCCACCUGUCACCCUCUCCCUCACACACUCUGUCACCUGUCAUAUGUGCAUUCACACUGACUCUAUCUACAAAAAAGCACAUGUAGUCAUCCAGACAUGCACAAGUGCAUUCACACGGACUCAAAUACAAACAUGCAUUGAUACACAGGUCUUCACAAUAUACACAUCCAAAGGAAUGCCGUAUUAUAUGAUAGUUAUAUUUAAAGGGACACAAUAGUCACCCAGAUCACUGCAGCUCAAUGAAGUGGUCUGGGUGCCAGGUCCCUCAGGUUUUAACCCUUCAGAUGUAAACAUAGCAGUUUCACAGAAACUGCUAUGUUUACUUAGCAGGCUUAACCCAACCUCUAGUGGCUGUUACGAGCGCAGAGGGAGCCUGGUGCUGGAUAAAGGUAAGCUACGGGAGGAGGAACCUGAGGUUGGGGGCACCCUUAGGGCACUAUAGUGUCAGGACAACCACUUUGUUUUCCUGACACUAAAGUGAUCCUUUAACAUUUAUUUGAUGUAUUUUAUCCAAAAAAAUUGUACAGCAAAUGCAGUAUGUAGUAUGUAGUAUACGCACCUGCACCUAAAAAACCCACCUUAAUAAACUCAAUACACUGUAUAACUCGUUCUGCCAAUUUGCAGUACAAUGUAAUUACAGGACCCACCCUAGUGACAUGCUAAAAGAACUGAAUUGGCUGUCGCUGGAAUCCAGACGCACCCUUCAUCUUUCCAGCCUUGUGUUUAAGAGCUUUUCUGGAAAGCCCCCACAUUACCUGACCAGAAUGCUCUCACCAGCUGUUCCCACCUCCUAUAACCUCCGAUCCAGUACGAGCACUUUAUUUAGUCUACCUCAAUACAAAAAGAAAGCAGCCCAAUCCUUUUCCUACAGAGCACCGUAAUUAUGGAACAUUCUCCCGCACACUUUCAAAUCAUCCCCAGGCUUAAAGUCCUUUAAGAGAUCCCUCUCCUCAAAACAGAAUGCACGGGUUUAAUGGUUGAUUAUUAGAGUUGAGCAGACACCUGAAUGUUCGGAUUCGCCAGGUUCGGCUGAACUUCGGCAAAAAGUCAAACUUGACCCGAACUUGACCCCGAAACCAAACCCGAUUGAAGUCAAUGGGGACCCGAACUUUUGGGCACUAAAAUGGCUCUAAAAAGUCCUGGAAAGGACUAGAGGGCUGCAAAAGGAAGUAAAAUGUAUUGCCUAAGUACUAAUAUACUUAACCAGUGCAAGAAGAAGAAUGUUACACUGUAUACAAUUUUAAAAAAAGUUUAUACAAACAUAGCCGGGAUUCAGCUGUAAGCAUUUGCAACACUUACAACAACCAAGUAACACACAUUCAUAUAAAAUGUAAGUUACUUGUCCAGUCAAUGUAAUGACAGGAAUUAAUUUCUUUAUGGCAAUGGUGUUCCCUUAUAGCUGUGGCAUCUUUCACCAGGAUAAUUCAACAUGCCACACUGCAAAAAUUGUUCAGGAAUGGUUUGAGGAACAUAGCAAAGAGGUCAAAGUGUUACCUUAGCCUCCAACCCAAUUAAGCGUCUGUGGGAUGUGCUUGAACAACAAAUCCAUGGAUGUCCCACCUCGCAACUUGCAGGACUGUGUGUGUGUUUGUGUAUAUCUGUGAUUAUGUGUAUCUCUGUAUGUAUUUAGUAGAUAGCUCCCUUAUUUGGUGACUGUCUAUGACUGUGUGUGUGUGUGUGUGUGACUCUCUGCCUUUGUUUGUGUGUGUGACUCUGUGUGUUUGACUGCCUGUGAUUGUGUGUGUGUGUGUGACUGUCUGCCUGUGAUUGUGAAUGUGUGUGUGUGUUUGUGACUGUGUGUGUAUGUGUGACUGUCUGCCUGUGAUUGUGUGACUGUGUGUGUGUGUAUGUGUGACUGUCUGCCUGUGACUGUGUGUUUGACUGUCUGCCUGUAACUGUGUGUGAGUGACUGUCUGUGGGACUGUGUGCAUCUGACUGUGUCUGCCUGUCUUCUUCCUGCAGUGAGACGGCAGCCAGGAUAUGGUGUCAUCGCAGCCUCGGUGUCAUUACAGGGCGUGUGAGGGACCUGUGCAGGAAGAGCACAGAGUUCCCAGCAGCAACCAUUGACCACCAGGAACUGAGGAUCCACUCCAGCCCUUCUAGAACAAGGUAGGGAGGCUGGGUGGACCUAUUAAUUAUUAAAUAUGUGUAUGUAUGUAAUGUUUGCAUGUGUAUGUGAUUGUGUGUCUGAACAAUAUAAAGCACUGAACAACUCUAGCCCCUCUUAUAUCUCCUCACAGAUCCAUAGGUAUGUCCCUUCUCGGUCUCUCCGCUCUGCCCGUGACCACCUCCUGUCCGUUGUCCGCACCCGUAUGGCCAACUUGUGCUUGCAGGACUUCUCGCGGGCGGCUCCCUUCCUAUGGAAUAGCCUACCUCCCGCCAUCAGACUCUCCCCUAGUCUUGCAUCUUUUAAGAAGUGCCUUAAAACCCAUCUCUUUAGGAAAGCUUAUGGCCUCCAAGACUAACCCCUACCUCACAUACCUGUCUCUUGCCCUCUCCUAAAGGGCAACCCACCUUAUUUGAUUGCAAAUUCCUGUCCUACUGUGUUUUACACCCCACCUCCUAUAGAAUGUAAGCUCGAUUGAGCAGGGUCCUCUUCAACCUAUUGUUCCUGUAAGUUUAUUUGUAAUUGUCCUAUUGAUAGUUAAAUCCCCUCUCAUAAUAUUGUAAAGCGCUACGGAAUCUGUUGGCGCUAUAUAAAUGGCAAUAAUAAAUAAAUAAAUAAAUAAAUAAACGUGUGUGGGUCUGUGAUUGUGUCUGUGUAUAUCUGUGAUUAUGUGUAUCUCUGUGUAUGUGUAUAGAUAGCUCCUUAUUUGGUGUCCUUAAAUAUGGCAAGCCCACAUAAAGAUAGCAAAUAGGGGAGUUAUCUGCUAAACAAAGAUUGAAAUUAAGAGGUGUCAGGCAGCCCACAACAAGAAAUUUGGGUGGCUAAUGUGAAUUAUAUGCAAAUGUGUUGUCAGAUGCCAGCAUGCAGAGUACAGUGUAUCUGCGUGUGUGUGUGUGUAUAUGUAUCUGCAUGUGUGUAUGUCUGUAUAUGUGUAUAUGUGCAUACAUCUCAAAAUCUCGCCAACACUACACACAAAUACACUCAUGCAUUUCAACGUCAACACUACAUACAAACCCCACCAUUAUAUAUAACCAUACCACUGCAUUCAAAUACCACACAACACACAAAUGCAUGCUUGCAUUCAAAUGCCAACACUACAUACAAACACACUCCUGCAUUCACUCACACAUACUCCAUACAAAAACAUGCAUACAUUCACACACAAACACUGCUCAGUGCUAAAUAAAUUUUUUAAAAAAUUGGUUGUUUUUUACAUUUAAAAGUUGAGGGGGGGUAGGGAAGGGUACGCCCCUGGGUUUUAAUGGUGUGGCUAGUGAUGUCCCAAAUGGUUUGCCGAACGGUUCGCAAACAGUUCGCCACGAACGGUUCGCCACGGACUCAUCAUUGAGUAAACUUUGACUCUGUACCUCACAGUCAGCAGACACAUUCCAGCCAAUCAGCAGCAGACCCUCCCUCCCAGACUCUCCCACCCCCUGUCUGCUGCUGAUUGGCUGGAAUGUGUCUGCUGACUGUGAGGUACAGGGUCAAAGUUUACUCAAUGAUGAGUGAGCGGCAAACCGUUCGGCGAACCGUUCGGGACAUCACUAGUUGUGGCUGAUCAGACUAUGCAGGGCUGGUCAAUGAGGUGAGAAUUGUCAGGAAUUGUCAACUUUCAUAUGAGUUUUAUUACUCUGGCCUUCAAUUCACUUUGACUUCACAACAAUUCUCAUUUUAGUGAAUUACCCUGAUUGUUUUCUAUGGGUACAAAAAAUCCUAUCUUGUUUUUUUUUGGUUUUUUUAAAUCCUAUGUCUCUCCAAAACAUGUGAUGGUGGUCACAUGUAGCCUGGCCUGAUAUAGCCUGAUUGAGUAAGUGCACCGCAAUAAAAUUGAAUCUAUUCAUUGUCAAAGUGCAGAGAAUCAUGAUUCACUUUUCGCUUCUGUAGUGUAGAGUCUUGCCUGCUAAUUUGUAAAACAAUGUAGGAGUUAUUUGUAUGACCCUAUUAAAUUGAUCUUUACCCUCCACUGCACUCAUGGUGAAGGAAUGAUAAGAGACUGUUUGUUUAGACACUAAAUUGUAUAUUAUUAUCCUCAACAACUGCACAUAGGGUAUAGAAAGAUGGGGGUACUCACUGACACCCACUCAUUAAGCCCCACAUCCCAUGUACAUUUUUUUAUUGCCCCUCGCUCCCCUCUCCCCAUUCUGUGCUCUAGAGUCUUAGGGGUCACAAAAGUGUUUUGUAUUCUUUUUUUGUUGUUGGUUUUGUUUUAUUUUUAAUUUGGCACACAGCAAGUUUCUCUGUUUACAUGUGUAAUUAAUAAUUCCCUUCAUAUUUUCUCCAGCUACCUGGACUCUAUGCACUUGCUCCAAGAACAAAAUUAUGCUGGAAGUGCUGUGGUACGCAAGGAAAUCAGUUUGUGAAUGCGACCGUCAUCUCAGACCAGGAGGCAUGAG